rnacentral:rRNA from 1 species
AACGAACGCUGGCGGCAUGCCUAACACAUGCAAGUCGAACGGGAUCCGGACUUCGGUCCGGUGAGAGUGGCGGACGGGUGAGUAACACGUGGGAACCUGCCUUUUGGUUCGGGAUAACCGCGGGAAACUGCGGCUAAUACCGGAUGCUCCCGAGAGGGAAAAGAUUUAUCGCCAGAAGAGGGGCCCGCGUCCGAUUAGGUAGUUGGUGGGGUAAUGGCCUACCAAGCCGACGAUCGGUAGCUGGUCUGAGAGGAUGAUCAGCCACACUGGGACUGAGAUACGGCCCAGACUCCUACGGGAGGCAGCAGUGGGGAAUAUUGGACAAUGGGGGGCAACCCUGAUCCAGCAAUGCCGCGUGAGUGAUGAAGGCCUUAGGGUUGUAAAGCUCUUUUGCCAGGGAAGAUGAUGACUGUACCUGGAGAAUAAGCCCGGCUAACUUCGUGCCAGCAGCCGCGGUAAU